rnacentral:rRNA from 1 species
UACGUAGGAGGCAAGCGUUAUCCGGAUUUACUGGGUGUAAAGGGAGCGUAGACGGCUGUGCAAGCCAGAUGUGAAAGCCCGGGGCUCAACCCCGGGACUGCAUUUGGAACUGUGUAGCUGGAGUGUCGGAGAGGCAGGCGGAAUUCCUAGUGUAGCGGUGAAAUGCGUAGAUAUUAGGAGGAACACCAGUGGCGAAGGCGGCCUGCUGGACGAUGACUGACGUUGAGGCUCGAAAGCGUGGGGAGCAAACAGG